GCCCGGGUGGUGAAAUUGGUAGACACAAGGGACUUAAAAUCCCUCGGAGAUAAUACUCCGUGCCGGUUCGAGUCCGGCCCCGGGCACAA
rnacentral:tRNA from 1 species